rnacentral:rRNA from 1 species
ACGCUCCUACGGGAGGCAGCAGUGAGGAAUAUUGGUCAAUGGGCUUACGCCUGAACCAGCCCUGUCGCGUGAGGGAAGACUGCCCUAUGGGUUGUAAACCUCUUUUGUCAGGGAGCAAUUGGCGCUACGUGUAGCGUUAUCGAGAGUACCUGAAGAAAAAGCAUCGGCUAACUCCGUGCCAGCAGCCGCGGUAUUACGGAGGAUGCGAGCGAUAUCCGGAUUUAUUGGGUUUAAAGGGUGCGUAGGCGGAAUGCCAAGUCAGCGGUAAAAUCGCGGGG